rnacentral:snRNA from 1 species
AUCGCUUCUCGGCCUUUUGGCUAAGAUCAAGUGUAGUAUCUGUUCUUAUCAGUUUAAUAGAAGAAUCUGCAGUAGGUGACUGAAGGCAUAUUGGAACAGUGCCAAACAGGUUGGUUAGAAUACAAUGAUUUUCAAGUUUGAUUACACAUUAAGCUCACUUAGCAAACUAAGAAAUGCUACCUAAAUCUGGGUCCACUCCAAAGAUUCUGACUAAAUAUAA